AACAGCUAAUAUUAAUGGAUCGUUCUUUUCAAAAAAGGGGCGUGUCUAACUAUGUGUCUACAUCUUAAUAGCAAAACAGCUAGCGGAUCUAAAAUUUAACCACUCAGAUCUUUGUGAAACUAGAUCUUUAUCCGAUUUACCACCACCAUCAGAUGACAACCUGGGCAAGAGAAUCUAUCUGCUUAAGUACAAAAAACCCGUACCUGGAUUGAACUAGAGGCCUAACUGAUUCACGCUCGACUGACACAUCUGACUGAUUGGAGUGCUGUGUGGAGAAGUUCGCGUUGUAUCGCUGCCGGCGGCUAGUUUGUAUCCUCUGACACUUGCUUCACCUCACAUUUGUUCCUGGUCUUAAUAUUAGUGUAUUUUACUAUAAUUACCUAUCAUUGUCGUUGCCGAAUUAUUUAGAACUUUAUUUUCUAAAUUUAUAUUAAUUGAAGCGUAACGCCGCUAGCAUAUUAGCGUGUUAGCUUGCCUUCUGUUUACAUUGUGGAAUAUCAUCUCCCCCUAUUUGUCUUGUGUGCUAACUGUUUCUCUUUUUAAGUGUAUAUACCAAGACUCAUCAAGCAACCUUGGUUACCGCAGGAUGCAGUUCAUGCCCAGACCUGAUGGCAGAGCUGAGAAUGGGAAGCGGUGACCUGAAAAGAGCUAAGAGGAUAGAGCUGGAUAAAGGACGCGACAACUUUGUUUUUCCUACAACAUUUAAAAUGCUAUUAGAUUGUUAAUGAUAAUCUUAAAUCCUUAAUUUUUAUAUUUUAUUAAGCCUUAUUGUGCAAGCACUGUUGAGCUGGUUGGGCCUGGGUUCCCCUGAGGGUUUUUUUCUCGAUGGGAGUUUUGGGUUCCUCACCACCGUUUGCAUAUUGUUUUGCACUAUCUGCCUGGCCGGGGGGGCUGCUUUCGAAUUCAUACUCGUAUUCAAUGUGUCUCAUGUACAGCUGCUUUGUAACAAUGAAAAUUGUAAAAAGCGCUAUAUAAAUAAAGUUGAGUUGAGUUGAGUUGAGGAGAAAGAAGACUGGAACUUGGAUUUCCUGAUACCAAGCUUAAAGAUGAACAAAUUGAUAAAGAAACCCUCCUGCUGGACAUCCACUUCCAAAAGUGCACGCCACUCUGUUGUCUAAACUCCCAGGAAAAGAAUCCUCUUCACUAAGACUGCUCCGUGGUUAUGUCAGGUUAAGCAGUACUGGAACCGAAAGAACUAAAGCUUUUUAAAUUUUCAAGGGCUUUUAAAAUUGUGAUUUUAUAUGAAGAGGAAAGUUCUCAGACCUAGUGUCAGGAUUCCAUCACCAUCUCGCUCCACUCAUUCCCUCACUCCGCCCACUCAGUCAUUCACACGCUCAUUGUCACCUGAUUACUAAUCACUGUCACCUGGACCUCAUCAGCAGUGCACCCAUUUAUACCACAGACCAACAUUCACUCAUUGUCUGAUCUCGUCUACACAUGACACAGACUCUAUACCAUACGUACCUGUAUUCCUACCUACUAUCCCGAUCUUCUCAGCGAAUCUUCUUCCCGCCUGCAAAGGAAUUCAUCAUCAGCUUUAUCAGCAAGAUAAAGAGAGAGACUUGGUUACACUACGGAUAAGUUUCCAUCUGUUUUGUCAUCUUACCGGAUAUUCACCUAUUUCGUUGUACCGAUCCAUUCUCAGUGGUGGACGAAGUACACAAACCAUGUACUUGAGUAAAAGUAGAGAUACCCAAGGAAAAAUAUUACUCAAGUAAAAGUAGAA